rnacentral:rRNA from 1 species
UACGGAGGGUGCAAGCGUUAUCCGGAUUUACUGGGUUUAAAGGGUGUGUAGGCGGGCCUUUAAGUCUGGGGUGAAAUCUCCGAGCUCAACUCGGAAACUGCCCUGGAUACUAUUGAUCUUGAAUUAUGUUGAGGUUGGCGGAAUAUAACAUGUAGCGGUGAAAUGCAUAGAUAUGUUAUAGAACACCGAUUGCGAAGGCAGCUAACUAAGCAUAUAUUGACGCUGAGGCACGAAAGCGUGGGGAUCAAACAGG